AACGAACGCUGGCGGCAGGCCUAACACAUGCAAGUCGAGCGAAGCCUUCGGGCUUAGCGGCGGACGGGUGAGUAACGCGUGGGAACGUGCCCUUUGGUACGGAAUAGCCCCGGGAAACUGGGAGUAAUACCGUAUGUGGUCGAGAGACGAAAGAUUUAUCGCCAAAGGAUCGGCCCGCGUUGGAUUAGGUAGUUGGUGGGGUAAUGGCCUACCAAGCCGACGAUCCAUAGCUGGUUUGAGAGGAUGAUCAGCCACACUGGGACUGAGACACGGCCCAGACUCCUACGGGAGGCAGCAGUGGGGAAUCUUAGACAAUGGGGGAAACCCUGAUCUAGCCAUGCCGCGUGAUCGAUGAAGGCCUUAGGGUUGUAAAGAUCUUUCAGUGGGGAAGAUAAUGACUGUACCCACAGAAGAAGCACCGGCUAACUACGUGCCAGCAGCCGCCGUAAGAC
rnacentral:rRNA from 1 species